rnacentral:hammerhead_ribozyme from 1 species
AUCCACCUGAUGAGUCCCAAAUGGGACGAAACGCGUGCCUUAGAU